GAUGAACGCUGGCGGCGUGCCUAAUACAUGCAAGUCGAGCGAACGGACGAGAAGCUUGCUUCUCUGAUGUUAGCGGCGGACGGGUGAGUAACAUGUGGAUAACCUACCUAUAAGACUGGGAUAACUUCGGGAAACCGUAGCUAAUACCGGAUAAUAUUUUGAACCGCAUGGUUCAAAAGUGAAAGACGGUCUUGCUGUCACUUAUAGAUGGAUCCGCGCUGCAUUAGCUAGUUGGUAAGGUAACGGCUUACCAAGGCAACGAUGCAUAGCCGACCUGAGAGGGUGAUCGGCCACACUGGAUCUGAGACACGGUCCAGACUCCUACGGGAGGCAGCAGUAGGGAAUCUUCCGCAAUGGGCGAAAGCCUGACGGAGCAACGCCGCGUGAGUGAUGAAGGUCUUCGGAUCGUAAAACUCUGUUAUUAGGGAAGAACAUAUGUGUAAGUAACUGUGCACAUCUUGACGGUACCUAAUCAGAAAGCCACGGCUAACUACGUG
rnacentral:rRNA from 1 species